ACGGUAACAGGAAGAAGCUUGCUUCUUUGCUGACGAGUGGCGGACGGGUGAGUAAUGUCUGGGAAACUGCCUGAUGGAGGGGGAUAACUACUGGAAACGGUAGCUAAUACCGCAUAACGUCGCAAGACCAAAGAGGGGGACCUUCGGGCCUCUUGCCAUCGGAUGUGCCCAGAUGGGAUUAGCUAGUAGGUGGGGUAACGGCUCACCUAGGCGACGAUCCCUAGCUGGUCUGAGAGGAUGACCAGCCACACUGGAACUGAGACACGGUCCAGACUCCUACGGGAGGCAGCAGUGGGGAAUAUUGCACAAUGGGCGCAAGCCUGAUGCAGCCAUGCCGCGUGUAUGAAGAAGGCCUUCGGGUUGUAAAGUACUUUCAGCGGGGAGGAAGGGAGUAAAGUUAAUACCUUCGCUCAUUGACGUUACCCGCAGAAGAAGCACCGGCUAACUCCGUGCCAGCAGCCGCGGUAAUACGGAGGGUGCAAGCGUUAAUCGGAAUUACUGGGCGUAAAGCGCACGCAGGCGGUUUGUUAAGUCAGAUGUGAAAUCCCCGGGCUCAACCUGGGAACUGCAUCUGAUACUGGCAAGCUUGAGUCUCGUAGAGGGGGGUAGAAUUCCAGGUGUAGCGGUGAAAUGCGUAGAGAUCUGGAGGAAUACCGGUGGCGAAGGCGGCCUCCUGGACGAAGACUGACGCUCAGGUGCGAAAGC
rnacentral:rRNA from 1 species